rnacentral:rRNA from 1 species
UACGUAGGGUGCAAGCGUUAAUCGGAAUUACUGGGCGUAAAGCGUGCGCAGGCGGUUGUGCAAGACCGAUGUGAAAUCCCCGGGCUUAACCUGGGAACUGCAUUGGUGACUGGCAAGCUAGAGUGUGGCAGAGGGGGGUAGAAUUCCACGUGUAGCAGUGAAAUGCGUAGAGAUGUGGAGGAAUACCGAUGGCGAAGGCAGCCCCCUGGGCUAACACUGACGCUCAUGCACGAAAGCGUGGGGAGCAAACAGG